rnacentral:tRNA from 1 species
GCCGGUGUAGCCCAAUUGGUAGAGGCGCCAGGUCGAGAAUCUGGAGGUUGCGAGUUCGACCCUCGCCACCGGCA